rnacentral:tRNA from 1 species
GGAGGGGUGCCCGAGCGGCUAAAGGGGGCGGCCUCGAAAGCCGCUGGGCCUCUGGUCGGCCCCGUGGGUUCGAAUCCCACCCCCUCCG